rnacentral:rRNA from 1 species
UGGGGAAUCUUGGACAAUGGGCGCAAGCCUGAUCCAGCCAUGCCGCGUGAGUGAAGAAGGCCUUCGGGUUGUAAAGCUCUUUUACCAGGGACGAUAAUGACGGUACCUGGAGAAUAAGCCCCGGCAAACUUCGUGCCAGCAGCCGCGGUAAUACGAAGGGGGCUAGCGUUGUUCGGAAUUACUGGGCGUAAAGCGCACGUAGGCGGAUUGUUAAGUCAGAGGUGAAAUCCCGGAGCUCAACUUCGGAACUGCCUUUGAUACUGGCAAUCUAGAGUCCGGAAGAGGUUAGUGGAAUUCCCAGUGUAGAGGUGAAAUUCGUAGAUAUUGGGAAGAACACCAGUGGCGAAGGCGGCUAACUGGUCCGGUACUGACGCUGAGGUGCGAAAGCGUGGGGAGCAAACAGGAUUAGAUACCCACGUAGUCCCUGAGCGGGCUGGCAAGGCGCAU